CGGACGGGUGAGUAACGCGUGGAAAACCUGCCGUGUACUGGGGGAUAACACUUAGAAAUAGGUGCUAAUACCGCAUAAGCGCACAGCUUCGCAUGAAGCGGUGUGAAAAACUCUGGUGGUAUACGAUGGUUCCGCGUCUGAUUAGCUAGUUGGUGGGGUAAUGGCCUACCAAGGCAACGAUCAGUAGCCGGCCUGAGAGGGUGAACGGCCACAUUGGGACUGAGACACGGCCCAAACUCCUACGGAAGGCAGCAG
rnacentral:rRNA from 1 species